CAAACAGGACAUCACUAAUGUCCUGUUUGACUGGAAGAAGGGUCGUCAGGAGGUGUUUAUGUAUGAUGCUGGUGACCAUUACAAUAAUAGACCAUCAGGCCAAGAUAAGCAGUUCAAAGCUCGGGUCUCUCACCUGGAAGAAGAACUGAAACACGGUAACGCCUCCAUAAGGAUCAACAACACCAGGGUGUCUGACAGUGGGAACUACACGUGUCUUUUUCCACGGCUCAACCCCCCGAGAACGUUCAGCGUGCAGCUCUUUGUCAGUCCCUCCUACAUGGACAGAUUAGCUGAAAACAUUCUUGGCGCGUCUAUGACACCAUAUACUGCCAUACUUAAUGCCACAGAAGACGGGGUGACGCUGAGGUGUGAGGUUCCAGGUGUUUUUCCCAAACCAGAGUUAGAGUGGCAGGACAGCGAUGGAAACGUUCUCCCUGCCGAGGAGCCACAGGUCUCUGAAAAGCGAGGACGCUACUACGUCUCCCUGAGAUCCACCGUUAGCAGGACAACAACUAACCUGUUUGUCUGCGUAGCCAGGCAGGAGGACAUCCACCACCAGACUAAAGCAGAGAUCUAUGUGCCCGAGAAAAUGUUUGAGUCAUGCAAAGUGUCAGAUCAGAUCAGUGUUCAUGGCUGGAGUGUUGUGCUUGGAAUUCUAAUUGGAGCUGUGGGAACGUUACUCCUGAUCUGCGCCAUCAGAACAUGUCAGAGAGGUACGUUUAAAAAGAAAUGAUGUUAGUAACUAUCUGCAGGGUGCAAAAAUACUGAUUUCAUAUUAUUGUUUUUGCAUUUUCUCUGUGUGUCGUGUAACACUCUGGACUCUUGUACUAUGAAUAGAUGCAACACCACAGUGUUAGAGAUGCAGACUUUUGAACCGAUGGUCUCUCCCCUCUUUAAUCCUGAGGAUGCAGUGUCCAUGUUUUCCAACAAUAAUUUUACAUUUGGAUUUGUCUGACCUCGGAACAGUUUUCCAGAGCUGUGGUUUAGAUCAUGAUUACAUGUGUGGCUUAUUCUUUGCAUGAUGGAGCUUUAACCUGCGUUUGUGCACCGCUCUGUGAGCUGUGUUCAGACAGUGAUGUCUGGCAGUGAUCCUGGGUCCAUGCACUGAUGUCCAUGACAGAAGCACGCCACGCUAACAACAGGAGAGUGGAUAUUCCCAGAAUCUGUCUCUGCUUGUUAGAUGGAAACCUAAACCACAGUGACACCCAAAACUAUUCAGUUUCGGGUGUAAACAGUCAUUCAGACUCAGCUCGCUGUGGACCGUACACCACAGUUCCGAGUCCCAGUACCUGUAGCAAGUGUGGAGAAACCGUGGACCAGAGUGGCCCCAACAGCCAUGACGCACCAACACCUGGGCCAGCUGUGCACACAGCAUAUUUGAGUGGUACUCAAAGGUCAACUGAAAGGGGUCAUUCAGACUCAUUCCAACAUGAACCUCAAACUGCAGAGUCUGUAAAUUUGAGCCAGUUUGGAGAAACAUCGGACCAAAGUGCCACCAACGGCCGUGCUGUGCACGAGACGGCUGCAAACACAAACAUCACUCAGAAGUCAGCUGGGAAACUAAAACAGCUGACAACUCAAGAAAAGUCAGGAGCAGAACGUGCUGAGGAUACAACGGAGAGAUAAAGUUAGACGCAAAGCCGGACAACAGGGACUGAUGAAUAUGUGAACCACUGUCUUACAUUCAGUCUGUGCAAAAGUGAUGAGCCAGCACUUAUUUCUCUAUAUAAUUUGGUUAAGAUGUAAAAUUAGUUCAGGAAUUAUUUGAAACAUGUGCAAACAUAAAUUACAUUUUUUGGGAAUCACCAGCAAAAAUACUAUGUUAUGUUAUCCAGCACUGUUGCCUCACAGUAAGAAGGUUCCUGGGUUUGAAUCCACCACUUGGCCUUUCCCUUGUCUACGCGGGUUCUUUCCUCCCACAGGUCAAAGGCCAUGCAGUCAGCAGGGGUUAGGUUAAUUGGUGAUUCUAAAUUGAACAUUUGUGUGAAUGGUUGUCUGUCUGUGUUAGUCAUGUGACAGACUGGCAACCUGUCCGGAGUGUGCCCCGCCUCUGGUCCUAUGGCAGCUCGGGUAGGCUCCAGCCCACCCUCGACCUUCUAUUGGAUAAACAGGAGAGCAUGUUUUUGCAACAAGCAAAAACGUUAGCAUAAUAAACAAAAAAAUCUUCUGAACAGAAAAUGAUUGAAAAAGUAGCCAAUGUCCAAUAAUCUGAAUCUUUGAAAGACUUUCAGAAAGCCUGCAGAACUGAACACUGCUACAUUAUUAGAAAAUCUCACUCCUAAGAAGGAAACUAGAGAAAUGUGGUGUGGCUCAAGACUUUUCCACAGUAUUGUAUUAACCACAUAUUAGUUUGUCUUCAUUGGCUCCCUGUUAAAUUUAACAUCAAAUUUUAAAUUGUUCUCCUCACAUACAAACUCUUAAAUAAUCCGGCUCCAUCAUGUUUUAGAAACCUGUACCACAUGACCCCAUUAGAGCACUUCACUCUCGCUCUGCAGGCCUACUUGUUGUUCCUAGAGUAUUUA